rnacentral:rRNA from 1 species
UACGUAGGUGGCAAGCGUUGUCCGGAUUUACUGGGCGUAAAGAGCGCGCAGGCGGUCGUGCAAGUCGCGUGUGAAAGCCCCCGGCUCAACUGGGGAGGGUCACGCGAUACUGCUCGACUCGAAGGCAGGAGAGGGAAGUGGAAUUCCCGGUGUAGUGGUGAAAUGCGUAGAUAUUCGGAAGAACACCAGUGGCGAAGGCGACUUACUGGACACAUAUUGACGCUGAGGUGCGAAAGCGUGGGGAGCAAACAGG